CCCAACAUAGUGUUUCGAUAUUUUGCUUCAAAUCGACAUGAAAACCUGUACAGAAAAGCAAAAAGAGGAAUUCAUUUGGGCUAUAAAAAAUGGAGAAGUUGAUCGGGUGUAUAAUAUGAUAAACACUAAAACAAUUAGAAUAAAUGAGGAAUUACGUGGAAGGCAACCUUUACAUUAUGCAGCUGAUUAUGGACAAGCGGAAAUUAUUAAGUUUCUUUUAAAUCAAGGAGCAGAUAUAAAUCAUGGAUUAUUAGCCCAUACUAAAGCAAAGGAUUCUUAUGGAAUAACACCAAUUUUAGCUGCUAUAUGGGAAGGGCAUAUACCAGUUGUUCAAUUAUUAUUGGAAAAGGGAGCAGAUAAAACUGUUUUAUCUCCAGAGGGGUCAAAGCUACUAGAUUGUGCAGAAAAAUUGGAAAUUAAAAAACUCCUUGCUUGACUGAUGAAUAUGGAUUCCCAUUUAUCAGCAUUUAUUCAAAUUGUUGUAUAUAUUAUUGCAUAAAAACAUAUGAAUAAGAGUGAUUUGUUUCAUUUGCAAAAUGGUGGAAAAUAAAAAAACU